GUCUAUGUCCCUACUGCCCUGAACACUCCUGAUCUCAUCUGAUCUCGGAAGCCAAGCAGGGCCGGGCCUGGUUAGUACUUGGAUGGGAGACAGAUCUUCAGAGGAGACUGCUCAAGAGACAAGCAGUUUGGAGACA
ensembl:rRNA 5S_rRNA 5S ribosomal RNA